UGAGCCGCUUCUGCCGUUUCUGCAGACUAUGGUCGCCAUUACAAGAUGGCGCUGGCUCCGCUGUGGUCUGUGACAAACAACUCCUUAUUUGGGAGAGUUGGUGCAUGGUUUUUCACCACCCUAUGAGAAAGCUCCACGUGGCAGCUUCGCAUUGGGGCUUGAGAUGCUUUAUUAAGGCUGGGAGGGGCAUCCGAGAAGGAGAAGAAGAAAUAUCAAGGGCCUGAAUAAACUGCUGAAAGAAGAUUCCCGAGUUGCGUCUUCCUUGCGGGGCAAGGGGUCGCGACAAGUGGUGCCGAGACCCGGGAACCAGAACUUUCAGCAGUCAGGGGUGGUGCACCGGUUAGUCCCAGGGAAAUAUUAGGAGUCCAAAGUUGGCUGUUUAAUGUUUCUGGCAGUACCCAAGACUCGGAGCGAGGUAGGAGGCUUAAAAUUUCUGCAAAUAAUUCACAAUUAUCUAAUGCUACAUUACCCUCCGCAGCAGUCCGUCUCCAAUCUCCAUUCCUGUUUCUUUUGGCUAAUGAUACAUUACAGGGGAUGCUUAAUUGCUCUAAUAUUACCUGUUAUUUGUCUGAGUGUUGGAAUGGAUCCUGGCCUAUGGCAGUGGUUAUGAAAAUUCCAACUUUUGUCCCGAUCCCGGUUACUGCAGAUCCAGAGUCAUUUCCUAUUGUUGAACUGAUUAGAGCCCAUAGAGAUUUUGGAAUUACGGCAGCUAUAGUGACAGCUAUGGCGGUAUCUGCUGCUGCAGCAGUUACAGCUGGAGUAGCCAUGGCCAGCCAGGUUCAAACUGCUGCCACUAUUAAUCAGGUUAUUCAACAAACAUCCACCAUACUUGAAUCUCAAAGUAGAAUUAAUCAACACAUUUUAUCUGGGAUUCUGGCUGCUAAUCAAAGGAUAGAUCUACUUCAAGCUCAAGUUGAGGAAUUGUCUGAUCUAGUACAUUUGGGUUGUAUUGAUCAACGUGCACAUUUAUGUAUAACCUCUGUCAGAUUUUAUGAUUCCAGAAAUGCCUCCCACAUCAUCGGGGAGUAUCCAUCCGGAACCUGGUCCAUGGAAGCAGAAAACAUGAUCCAGUCUCAACUAACCCAGAUAGCUGUCUUGAACAGUACCCGUGUCGAUCCCGUGACUUUGGGUCAAUUCACCGAUUGGAUAUCUUCUGCUUUUUCCUUCUUCAAAGAGUGGGUGGGGGUAGGCAUUUUUGGUGCAAUAUGUUGCUUCGGUAUGUUCCUCUGUUUGUGGUUUCUCUGUCGCCUUAAGGCCCGCAGUGCUCACGAUAAGGCUAUGAUCAUACAAGCUCUUGCGGCCUUAGAAAAUGGCAUUUCUCCACAAAUCUGGCUUGCACAUCUUAAACAGUGAUUUCUGGGCAUGGCCAUUGCACCCCAAGUUAGUUUCACAUUGCACUGGGAUUGGCAUGUCCUCUUUCUUAUUCUCUCCCAGUGCUGGAUAGCCCUUGCACUCUGCAGGUCUUGUUACCAUUGCACGCAGAUGGGUUUCCACACUAGUGCUUUUCUAUCGCCUUAAAGUCCAUGCCUUUCUUUCAGGGUGCUGUCAACUUGUUUGUCGUUAUAAACAGCCACAGUUCAGCCUCAGCUAUCCCCCUUCGUCCACCAUCAUCACUAUACAGGAUGCGAGGCAAGGCACUGCACUUGAGUGAUCCUUGACGUGGACCUCAAGGAGAGCAUGUCCUAUUGCAUGCGGGUUAGACGCAUCCACGCCCCGCCCCACGAAAAAAGGCGUCGGCUGAUAUGGCCUCAGAUCUGGGGAAGGGCCCUCCUUAGGACUGAGCCAUGCUAUGCAGCCACUUCUGCACAGUGGGAUAGGACCUCUACUCUCGCCUGUAUUGUUUUAAGAAAAAAGAAAGGGGGAACUGUGGUGAGCCGCUUCUGCCGUUUCUGCAGACUAUGGUCGCCAUUACAAGAUGGCGCUGGCUCCGCUGUGGUCUGUGACAAACAACUCCUUAUUUGGGAGAGUUGGUGCAUGGUUUUUCACCACCCUAUGAGAAAGCUCCACGUGGCAGCUUCGCAUUUGGGCUUGAGAUGCUUUAUUAAGGCUGGGAGGGGCAUCCGAGAAGGAGAAGAAGAAAUAUCAAGGGCCUGAAUAAACUGCUGAAAGAA